rnacentral:rRNA from 1 species
GAUGAACGCUGGCGGCGUGCUUAACACAUGCAAGUCGAACGAAGCAUUUAGAACGGAUUACUUCGGUUUGAAGUUCUUUAUGACUGAGUGGCGGACGGGUGAGUAACGCGUGGGUAACCUGCCUUGUACUGGGGGAUAGCAGCUGGAAACGGCUGGUAAUACCGCAUAAGCGCACAAUGUUGCAUGACAUGGUGUGGAAAACUCCGGUGGUAUAAGAUGGACCCGCGUCUGAUUAGCUAGUUGGUGAGAUAACAGCCCACCAAGGCGACGAUCAGUAGACGACCUGAGAGGGUGACCGGCCACAUUGGGACUGAGACACGGCCCAGACUCCUACGGGGGGCAGCAGUGGGGAAUAUUGCACAAUGGAGGAAACUCUGAUGCAGCGACGCCGCGUGGGUGAAGAAGUAAUUCGUUAUGUAAGGCUCUAUCAGCAGGGAAGAUAGUGACGGUACCUGAAGAAUAAGCCACGGCUAACUACGUGCCAGCCGCCGCAGUAA